rnacentral:rRNA from 1 species
AUUAGAUACCCUAUUAUUUUUAAUGUAAAGGAAGAUAAGCUAAGGUAAUAUUUGUUAUGAUCUUGAAACUUAAAGAAUUUGGCGGUAUUAUAGUCUAUUUAGAGGAAUCUGUUGUGUAAUCGAUAUUCCACGUUGAACCUUACUUAUAUUAUAUUCUUGUAUAUCGCUGUUUAAUGAAUAUAUUUUUAGAUAAUUUUCUAGAUAAAAUAAUAAUUAGUAUUUCAAGUCAAGGUGCAGUAAUAUAUAAGAAUUAAUGGAUUACAAUAAAAUUUAUUUAUAUGGAUAAUUGAUGUAAUAUAAAUUUGAAGGUGGAUUUAGAAGUAAUUUGGAAAAGAUUAUUUGAAUGAUAAAGAGCUCUAUAAUAUGCACACAUCGCCCG